rnacentral:misc_RNA from 1 species
UCAAACUUGGUCAUUUAGAGGAAGUAAAAGUCGUAACAAGGUCUCCGUUGGUGAACCAGCGGAGGGAUCAUUACCGAGUUUUCUACUCUACACCCUGCCAAUUUACCGCUACAGCUUCGGUGGCCUGCCCCGGGGGGCGCUAUAUGGCCACCGAUGGCAUAAAACUCUUUUUUUCAGUCAAUCUGAGUAACCACAAAAAACAAGUCAAAACCUUCAACAACGGAUCUCUUGGUUCUGGCAUCGAUGAAGAACGCAGC